CAAAAACAUGUCUUUUAGUGUUUAUUUGAAGUCUGGCCUGCUCUAUGAUUGGGAAAUUAAAUGGCCGCAGUAUAUUAACUGUGCUAAGGUAGCAUAAUCAAUUGUUUCUUAAUUAGAAGCUUGGAUGAAGGGCCGGAUGAAAUGUGAUCUUUCUUUAUUUUUAAUUGGUGAAUUUGAUUUUUUAGUUAAAAGGCUAAAAUUAAAUUAAGGGACGAGAAGACCCCGUAGAUCUUGAUUGUAUUUUUAAUUGGUAGAUUUGGUUGUUUAUUGGUCAAUUUUUGUUUCAAUUUUGUUGGGGUGACUGCAGAAUCACAUUAACUUCUGUUAUUAUUUUUCAGUGAUUAUUGUAUUUGUGAUCUUCCUUUGGGGAUUAGAAGAUUAAGUUACCUCGGGGAUAACAGCGUUAUUUCUUCGGAAAGUUCAUAUUGAUGGAGAAGAUUGCGACCUCGAUGUUGGAUUAAAAUAAGUGAUGUGGCGCAGGGGCCCAUUAACUAGGUCUGUUCGACCUGUGAUUUUUUACAUGAUCUGAGUUC
rnacentral:rRNA from 1 species